rnacentral:tRNA from 1 species
AGGCGAUUAGCUCAAUUGGUAGAGCGUGUCGUUUACACCGAUACGGUUAGCGGUUCAAGUCCGUUAUCGCCUA